GGGGGGAGUAACAUCCGGAAACGGGUGCUAAUACCGCAUAGUUUCUUGAUCGCAUGAUCGGAAGGAAAGACGGCCUUUGUGCUGUCGCUUAUGGAUGGACCCGCGGCGUAUUAGUUAGUUGGUGAGGUAACGGCUCACCAAGACGAUGAUACGUAGCCGACCUGAGAGGGUGAUCGGCCACAUUGGGACUGAGACACGGCCCAAACUCCUACGGGAGGCAGCAGUAGGGAAUCUUCCGCAAUGGACGAAAGUCUGACGGAGCAACGCCGCGUGAGUGGAAGAAGGUUUUCGGAUCGUAAAACUCUGUUGUCAGAGAAGAACAAGUUGGAGAGUAACUGCUCCAGCCUUGACGGUAUCUGACCAGAAAGCCACGGCUAACUACGUGCCAGCCGCCGC
rnacentral:rRNA from 1 species